rnacentral:rRNA from 1 species
AACCUCCACGCUGAAAGAAUCCUAUUCUAAGCCAAGAUCUACGCAUCUAAGCAUCAACACAUUGACAUCCAUUGACCCAAUACAUUUGAGCAACGAACCAAGUUACCCUAGGGAUAACAGCGCAAUCCACUUCAAGAGCCCCUAUCGACAAGUGGGUUUACGACCUCGAUGUUGGAUCAGGGUAUCCUAGUGGUGCAGCCGCUACUAAUGGUUCGUUUGUUCAACGAUUAAAACCCUACGUGAUCUGAGUUCAGACCGGAGUAAUCCAGGUCAGUUUCUAUCUAUACUUGAGUUUCUUCUAGUACGAAAGGACCGAAGAAACGUGGCCCAUAUUUAUACAAGCCACUGCUGCCAAGUUAUGAAAUAAACUUAAUAACAUCGCAGCCCAUAAACCUGCUCCAGACAAGAGCCG